rnacentral:rRNA from 1 species
UGGAUAACCUGCCGAAAGGCGGGCUAAUACAGCAUGGGACCACAUGGUUUUUGGCCGAGUGGUGAAAAGCGGGGCCUCUGUUCACAAGCUCGCGCUCUGGGGAUGGAUCUGCGGCCCAUCAGCUAGUUGGUGAGGUAAACGGCUACACCAAGGCUACGACGGGUAGCUGGUCUGAGAGGAUGAUCAGCCACACUGGAACUGAGACACGGUCCAGACUCCUACGGGAGGCAGCAGUGGGGAAUCUUGCGCAAUGGGCGAAAGCCUGACGCAGCGACGCCGCGUGGGUGACGAAGGCCUUACGGGUUGUAAAGCCCUGUGGGGAGGAACGAACCGUCCGGGGGGCCCAAUACCCCUCCCGGGGCCUGACGGUACCUCUUUAGCAAGCAUCGGCUAACUCUGUGCCAGCAGCCGCGGUAAGACAGAGGAUGC